CGCGGGGUGGAGCAGCCUGGUAGCUCGUCNGGCUCAUAACCCGAAGGUCGUCGGUUCAAAUCCGGCCCCCGCAACCA
rnacentral:tRNA from 2 species